GGGACACCCUUCUGGGGCAAGACUUGCUUCAGUGGGGCUUUGGUGCUCACUGAGUCUGCCCCCUGAGUGUGUCCCU
rnacentral:pre_miRNA from 2 species